rnacentral:rRNA from 1 species
AAUCUGGGACAAUGGGGGAAACCCUGAUCCAGCCAUCCCGCGUGUAUGAUGAAGGCCUUCUGGUUUUAAGGUACUUUUGGCAGAGAAGAAAAGGUAGCUCCUAAUCCGAGAUACUACUGACGGUAUCUCCAGUUUAAGCACCGGCUAACUACGUGCCAGCAGCCGCGGUAAUACGUAGGGUGCAAGCGUUAAUCGGAAUUACUGGGCGUAAAGCGUGUGUAGGCGGUUCGGAAAGAACGAUGUGAAAUCCCAGGGCUCAACCUUGGAACUGCAUUUUUAACUGCCGAGCUAGAGUAUGUCAGAGGGGGGUAGAAUUCCACGUGUAGCAGUGAAAUGCGUAGAUAUGUGGAGGAAUACCGAUGGCGAAGGCAGCCCCCUGGGAUAAUACUGACGCUCAGACACGAAAGCGUGGGGAGCAAACA